AGUGAACGCUGGCGGUAGGCCUAACACAUGCAAGUCGAACGGCAGCACAGUAAGAGCUUGCUCUUACGGGUGGCGAGUGGCGGACGGGUGAGGAAUACAUCGGAAUCUACUUUUUCGUGGGGAAUAACAUAGGGAAACUUACGCUAAUACCGCAUACGACCUACGGGUGAAAGCAGGGGAUCUUCGGACCUUGCGCGAUUGAAUGAGCCGAUGUCGGAUUAGCUAGUUGGCGGGGUAAAGGCCCACCAAGGCGACGAUCCGUAGCUGGUCUGAGAGGAUGAUCAGCCACACUGGAACUGAGACACGGUCCAGACUCCUACGGGAGGCAGCAGUGGGGAAUAUUGGACAAUGGGCGCAAGCCUGAUCCAGCCAUACCGCGUGGGUGAAGAAGGCCUUCGGGUUGUAAAGCCCUUUUGUUGGGAAAGAAAAGCAGCAGGUUAAUACCCCGCUGUUCUGACGGUACCCAAAGAAUAAGCACCGGCUAACUUCGUG
rnacentral:rRNA from 1 species